rnacentral:pre_miRNA from 1 species
UUCUGGGUAUUUUAGAUCAUCGGCAUAGUUUAGAGAAUGCGACGAUUUCUUCCGUACCCAGAGG